GAACGAGAAAGUGGAGCAAUCCAUGAGUACAGUGGCGCACGGGUGAGUAACACGUGACUAACCUGCCUUCGAGUGGGGGAUAACCCCGGGAAACCGGGGCUAAUACCGCAUAACAUCCUCAGGCUGCAAUGCCUGGGGAGCAAAGGGGUAACUCGCUGGAAGAGGGGGUCGCGUCUGAUUAGCUAGUUGGCGGGGUAACGGCCCACCAAGGCGAUGAUCAGUAGCCGGCCUGAGAGGGCGCACGGCCACACUGGAACUGAAACACGGUCCAGACUCCUACGGGAGGCAGCAGUGGGGAAUUUUGUACAAUGGGGGAAACCCUGAUGCAGCAACGCCGCGUGGAGGAUGAAGCCCCUUGGGGCGUUAACUCCUUUCGAUCGGGACGAUGAUGACGGUACCGGAUGAAGAAGCACCGGCUAACUCUGUG
rnacentral:rRNA from 1 species